GACGGAGGGUGCUAGCGUUGUUCGGAAUGACUGGGCGUAAAGGGCGCGUAGGCGGCUCGUGAAGUCGGGUGUGAAAGCCCGGGGCUCAACCCCGGAACGGCAUCCGAUACUGCGGGUCUCGAGUCCGGGAGAGGUGAGUGGAAUUCCUAGUGUAGAGGUGAAAUUCGUAGAUAUUAGGAAGAACACCAGUGGCGAAGGCGGCUCACUGGCCCGGUACUGACGCUGAGGCGCGAAAGCGUGGGGAGCAAACAGG
rnacentral:rRNA from 1 species